CAAGGUGACUCCGUGUUGUAAAGUUCCUCUGACUGGGCCCUAGUCUCUACCUCCCAGUCCUGCCGCCUCCAGCCUUUAUGACCCCACAAAGGGAGCAGCUACCAAAGGCCUGAGUAGUGGAGGUCACAGCCCACCCAGGACAGUUGGAAUUCUUUGCUUUUCAGAGCCCCGUGAGACCACCAGGAGCCUCCGGGAAAGUCCAGACAAAAUGCGGGCUGGGAGUGAGCUCCGAGGGCUCUGAGAGGAGAGGGGCCGGGGAAGGAGAGGUCUGGGGAGCAGGGGGAGGGGCUCGGAGGCGAGACAGCCCAAUACGGGUGCCGGCAGGGAGGGCAGGGCCAGCAGAGGGAACAGCUGAGCCUGGGGAGGCAGGAAGCCUGUGUCCCCCGCGCUUCCCCUGGGAGCUGGGAAGGACUGCGGGGCCGCUCGGGGGGAGCCGGGGCUGGGAGUCCCUAAGCCACAAGCUUGGGACCUGGGACCAAGAGCCCGGUGCAGUGAAGGUGCAGCGGGAGAGCGCUUUGGUCAGUGCUCCCAGGCGGGCUCCUGGCGCUGGGAAGGCGGGACGUUUAAAGGCACUGGGUCUGAAGCAGGGUGAGGGGUAUAUCUGACUCUAAGCAAGAGAUGGGGACAGGGAGCGGGACCCCUGGGUCCUGAGCAGAAGCUGACAUCGGGACUCCCGGAUGCCUGCGGACAAAGUCUUUAGUCCAGGAGGACUCUGCCAGGUUACGGGGAGAGAUGUUGGCUGGGUGCUCCAUCCUGGGCUGCUUGAUAUUUUAUUAAUGGCUUGAGCAUGAAAAGAAAGAGAAAGAGAGCCCACUCAACAUUUCUGACAGCAAAGCUAGGAGAGAGAGAGAAGAAUUGGAUGACAGUCAGGAUUAAAACAAAUUCUGACACUGAAGAGAGAGACCUGGCCUGAAUAUCAUAAAAUGAAGUUCCAUGUGUAUUGGAGAGACUUGAAUGAGCUCAUGUAAGAGAAGGGAAUAAACCCAGAAAGACCAUUUAUCUCAUAACAAAAACAUCUGGAAGAGGAAAGAGAUCUGAUCCCUGCAAUGAACAGUGAAGGAUUGAGCUGUGCUGUCAAGAGGAAGUAGACAUGGGAGAUCGUUUUAGUGGAGCUGAGAAUCCCAGCCAGCAAUCCAGGAUGCUCAAGGGACUUCAGGAAAUCACCACUGAUGCAUAAAUUUUUUCUCCUGGAUUUAUAUUCUAAGUUGGUUAUUUUUCCAAUGAGGUAUUUUACAUUAAAAAAAAAAAAUCUG